GCCAGGUGCAGUGGCGUGCACCUGUAAUCCCAGUGGCUGGGGAGGCUCAGAUAGGAGGAUCAUGAGUUCAAAGCCAGCCUCAUCAAGGGCAAGGUGCUAAGCAACUCAGUGAGACCCUGUCUCUA
rnacentral:sRNA from 1 species